rnacentral:rRNA from 1 species
AGUGAACGCUGGCGGUAGGCCUAACACAUGCAAGUCGAACGGCAGCACAGUAAGAGCUUGCUCUUACGGGUGGCGAGUGGCGGACGGGUGAGGAAUACAUCGGAAUCUACUUUUUCGUGGGGGAUAACGUAGGGAAACUUACGCUAAUACCGCAUACGACCUACGGGUGAAAGCAGGGGAUCUUCGGACCUUGCGCGAUUGAAUGAGCCGAUGUCGGAUUAGCUAGUUGGCGGGGUAAAGGCCCACCAAGGCGACGAUCCGUAGCUGGUCUGAGAGGAUGAUCGGCCACACUGGAACUGAGACACGGUCCAGACUCCUACGGGAGGCAGCAGUGGGGAAUAUUGGACAAUGGGCGCAAGCCUGAUCCAGCCAUACCGCGUGGGUGAAGAAGGCCUUCGGGUUGUAAAGCCCUUUUGUUGGAAAAGAAAAGCAGCAGGUUAAUACCCCGCUGUUCUGACGGUACCCAAAGAAUAAGCACCGGCUAACUUCGUG